UUCUUAGAUGACUGAGAUAUAAGUGUUAGAUUUUUAAUCUAAAAACGGCAAAUGUGCCUCUAAGAAA
rnacentral:tRNA from 1 species